rnacentral:tRNA from 1 species
GUGGGUAUAGCUCAGUGGUAGAGCACAUGCUUAGCAUGCACAAGGUCUUGGGUUUAAUCCCCAGUAUCUCCA